rnacentral:rRNA from 1 species
AGAGUUUGAUCAUGGCUCAGGAUGAACGCUAGCGGCAGGCUUAAUACAUGCAAGUCGAGGGGCAGCAUGGUGUAGCAAUACACUGAUGGCGACCGGCAAACGGGUGCGGAACACGUACGCAACUUACCCAAAACUGGGGAAUAGCCCGGGGAAACCCGGAUUAAUACCUCGUAAUAUAAUUGAAUGGCAUCAUUUGAUUAUUAUAGCUCCGGCGGUUUUGGAUGGGCGUGCGCCUGAUUAGGUAGUUGGCGGGGUAACGGCCCACCAAGCCUACGAUCAGUAACUGGUGUGAGAGCACGACCAGUCACACGGGCACUGAGACACGGGCCCGACUCCUACGGGAGGCAGCAGUAAGGAAUAUUGGUCAAUGGACGCAAGUCUGAACCAGCCAUGCCGCGUGAAGGAUGAAGGUCCUCUGGAUUGUAAACUUCUUUUAUAUGGGAAGAAAUCCAUCUUUUCUUGGGUGGUUGACGGUACCAUAGGAAUAAGCACCGGCUAACUCCGUGCCAGCCGCCGCGGUAAUAC